AUUGAACGCUGGCGGCAUGCUUUACACAUGCAAGUCGAACGGUAACAGGCCGCAAGGUGCUGACGAGUGGCGAACGGGUGAGUAAUGCAUCGGAACGUGCCCAGUCGUGGGGGAUAACGCAGCGAAAGCUGUGCUAAUACCGCAUACGAUCUAUGGAUGAAAGCGGGGGACCGUAAGGCCUCGCGCGAUUGGAGCGGCCGAUGUCAGAUUAGGUAGUUGGUGGGGUAAAGGCCUACCAAGCCGACGAUCUGUAGCUGGUCUGAAAGGACGACCAGCCACACUGGGACUGAGACACGGCCAAGCCUCCGCCGGGAGGCAGCAGUGGGGAAUUUUGGACAAUGGGCGCAAGCCUGAUCCAGCAAUGCCGCGUGCAGGAAGAAGGCCUUCGGGUUGUAAACUGCUUUUGUGCGGAACGAAACGGUCUGGGUUAAUACCCUCGGCUAAUGCCGGUACCGUAAGAAUAAGCACCGGCUAACUACGUGCCAGCCGCCGCCGUAA
rnacentral:rRNA from 1 species